rnacentral:rRNA from 1 species
UACGUAGGGGGCUAGCGUUGUCCGGAAUCAUUGGGCGAAAGAGCGUGUAGGCGGCCCGGUAAGUCCGCUGUGAAAGUCGGGGGCUCAACCCUCGGAUGCCGGUGGAUACUGUCGGGCUCGAGUACGGAAGAGGCGAGUGGAAUUCCUGGUGUAGCGGUGAAAUGCGCAGAUAUCAGGAGGAACACCUAUUGCGAAGGCAGCUCGCUGGGACGUUACUGACGCUGAGACGCGAAAGCGUGGGGAGC